rnacentral:lncRNA from 1 species
UUUCUUCUGACAGAAAAAGGAAGAUGAAAUAUUAAAAGCAUGGCUCAAAGGCUGCUGUAUAUAUAUAUAUAUGUAUAUAUAUAAUCUUUUCUGCUCAGCACUGCUUUGGUGUUGCUCAGAGACAGCAGCCAGUCAGAGCAGGAGGGAUGCCAGACUUCAGGAGAGAGCAGGGAGUGGGGCUGAAGCAAGGGAGAAAGAGGAGGAUUGUCUCAGGUGAGGGCAGUGCCCUCUGAAGCAGGAGGACACAUCCAUGUGGGCCACUGUCCUUGGAUGUGGGAGGAUGGGAGGAGAAGAGGGCCAAGGCAUCUGCCUUGGAGAUGGAGAAGUCCUGCAGGCUCCCAGCUUGCCAUUUGUGCCAUCCUGGAGAAAGUGAAGUGAAUAAGAACAGAUUGAGACCAGUGAGAACAAUGACCUGGACUCUGCACCAAUCAAUCACCAAGCAGGAGACCUUGGAUCGUGCCAAAGGGUCACAGAGACCUGAUGAAGACCUCCUGACUUCAUCCUUUGAAGACCACUGACCCGAUGUGAGACCACUGACUCAAACCAAGAGAAGAAUUGUGCACACAUGAAGGACUAACAGCCUCAUGUUAAUACUGGAUGGGGAUGGGAGGUGCUGGGGUUAUGCAUAUGGAUUGUAUGGAAGAUCUUGGGAAAUAAACAGAUGGAAAAGAAGCUCGUUCA